GUUAUUGAGUCAUUAACCAAGGCCUCUUCCCACAGGGUCAGCCAGGUACUGAGGGGAUGAAAGGACAAAAAGGUGAUAUAGGUCCUCCUGGUCCUCCUGGUCCUGUGAUGACAGCUCAUGGAUUGAGACAGCUCUCUGGAACUGAUGACAUGAAGGACACAACCAUGAAAGGAGAGAAGGGAGAUAAGGUAA
rnacentral:lncRNA from 1 species